rnacentral:lncRNA from 1 species
UGGUGGUCUGGAAAUUGUGUUCGAGAGUUGAGUCUAAAGUCCGUUUCCAUUUGCAGCUUCACUUAUCUUCUCCUUGUCUGCACGUGAGUGAAGAUCCAGAGAAGACAGUUGUCAGCUGAGCUAUUAACAAUGCAACCACAGCCACCCCCGUCAGGAAGAGAUCCCCCGCACUCUGGCACCCAACGUGGGGCCGGUCCAUCGCGACUGACGCCUCACCCCCGUGGGAUCCCGCUCCCACCACUCCGCCGUGCUCUUAAGGUAAGGACCCCCCGUUGAUCGGCCACC